GGACCGUGGCUAUGGAGUCCGGCGUGGCAGCGGCAAUCCCUGGCCAAAGUGUGCCUUCAGCCAAAAGCAGAACUGGAAACAUCCUAAGUGGGCCGGUAACGAGGCUAGCUCUGUCGACUAGUUCAAGACCCCUGAGCGCUUUGGGCCUGAGGUUCCUCAGCUUCCAAGUGAAAGGCUUCGACUUGGCAUUCUAAGAGACAAUCUCUGUGACCAUCAGUUUCCUCAUCUGUAAAACUGGCAUCAUGAUAACUUUGAAGGUUUUAUUCUGGGCAUAUAUAUGUUUGGAGGUGUGUGUAUGUUUGGGGAACCUUUGAAUUUGGAAGUACCAAGAGACAAGAACUUGCUGUGUUGCCCAGGCUGGUCUUGAACUUCUGGCCUCAAGAAGAUCCUCCCACCUCGACCUCUCAAAGUGUUGGUAUUACAGACGUGAGCCACUGGGCCCCACUGUGUUCUGUUCUUAUUGCCCAUGACAAUUAAAGUUAGCUCUAUCUCAUCUCCA
rnacentral:lncRNA from 1 species